AGCUUCCUGAGUGGCUCAGUGGUUAGAGUGUGGGACUAAGACUUGGGAGAUCAGGGUUCGAAUCCCAAGUCAGCCA